rnacentral:rRNA from 1 species
UGGACGCCAGUCUGCAUGGAGCCGGCCUUGAAAUACCACCCUUUAAUGUUUGAUGUUCUAACGUUGGCCCGUAAUCCGGGUUGCGGACAGUGUCUGGUGGGUAGUUUGACUGGGGCGGUCUCCUCCUAAAGAGUAACGGAGGAGCACGAAGGUUGGCUAAUCCUGGUCGGACAUCAGGAGGUUAGUGCAAUGGCAUAAGCCAGCUUGACUGCGAGCGUGACGGCGCGAGCAGGUGCGAAAGCAGGUCAUAGUGAUCCGGUGGUUCUGAAUGGAAGGGCCAUCGCUCAACGGAUAAAAGGUACUCCGGGGAUAACAGGCUGAUACCGCCCAAGAGUUCAUAUCGACGGCGGUGUUUGGCACCUCGAUGUCGGCUCAUCACAUCCUGGGGCUGAAGUAGGUCCCAAGGGUAUGGCUGUUCGCCAUUUAAAGUGGUACGCGAGCUGGGUUUAGAACGUCGUGAGACAGUUCGGUCCCUAUCUGCCGUGGGCGCUGGAGAACUGAGGGGGGCUGCUCCUAGUACGAGAGGACCGGAGUGGACGCAUCACUGGUGUUCGGGUUGUCAUGCCAAUGGCACUGCCCGGUAGCUAAAUGCGGAAGAGAUAAGUGCUGAAAGCAUCUAAGCACGAAACUUGCCCCGAGAUGAGUUCUCCCUGACUCCUU